rnacentral:rRNA from 1 species
UACGUAGGGUGCAAGCGUUGUCCGGAAUUAUUGGGCGUAAAGAGCUCGUAGGCGGUCUGUCACGUCGGCUGUGAAAACCCGAGGCUCAACCUCGGGCCUGCAGUCGAUACGGGCAGACUAGAGUUCGGUAGGGGAGACUGGAAUUCCUGGUGUAGCGGUGAAAUGCGCAGAUAUCAGGAGGAACACCGGUGGCGAAGGCGGGUCUCUGGGCUGAAACUGACGCUGAGGAGCGAAAGCGUGGGGAGCGAACAGG